CAUUACGUGUGAAAUUUGUGGAGAUCGAGACAGUCGAAUAAAUCACAAAAGCAGAAUAUUUAUGGCGAAAUUUCCAUUGGAUGAGGUCAGAUGCCGAAAGUGGGUUCAGGUUGUGGGAAAAGAAGAUUUGAUAUAUGUUCCCAGAGAAAAGCUGCAUACUCUGAAAUAGGUGUGUGGUUCUCACUUUAA